CGGCUUCGAUUUUGCUUCGGUAUCAAGACAUAUACGUUGUAUAUAAUUACAAAAGAAUACACAAACAUUGAUUAAGAGAGUGAAGAUAAAGUAAAAAGAGAAUUCUCAGUUCUGCCUUCCAGAGACUUGUGCACCGAUAAGGAAGGUAUACCGUGAUAAUUUAACACUUUGUAGUAAUAAAAAAAUACAUCGACAUUGAAAAUCGCUUUUAGGUUCUUUUUUGACUACUUCUCUUAGGACUAAGCAAAGGAAGGGAGAAGGGGCGACGAGGCGCGGCGCGGCGGCGAAGAUUGCGGGGCCAACAGAACACACGUCGAAACCUGUACGUGCGGCGGCCGGGGUUGGGGGUUGUGGGGCGGCGAAGCGACAGGGAAGAGGCGGAGGUCGUAGGGGCGAUGGGGCGGGCGGAGGUGGACGAGACGGAGAACGUAGAGGCGUCGGCGGAGGGACAGGGGCGCGGGGACCAGCGGCGAGGUAGUGGGUAGGGGAGACCGAAGGUCUCAGCCCUUCCUGACCCACUCCAGCGUUCCCUCUCUCUCCGGAGCACUACACAAAAGGAGGAGGAUCCGGAGGAGGUGACGGCGUUCUAGGUAGGGCUCCACUGGAGAAAACAAGAACUAAACGAGACAUUUAGCUUUACUCUUAGAAAGAAGAAAGAGGAGAAGAAGUUGGAUUGGGACCAAUCAAACAAAACCGCAGACUAGUUGGUACCACUGAUAUACUCAUAUACCGACGUAGACUCGUGGGCAAGAAGUUCACGAUGGUGAGUUAACUAACUUAGAGGUUUCUCCAACAGACUUUUUAGGUUCAUUCAUUACAUUCACGUUCAUUUUAACCACCCUCCGAUGCCGAGUUAGCUAACGCAGAGUUUACGUAGUUGCGUCGAAUGCCACUAAAAACUUUGGACAGUACAUACGUACGGAAUUUUUAUUGAUUUUUAAAUUAACGUGGUUUACUUACCCUUACAAUUUAAACAAACAAAGUCAUGGAUAUAAGAUUUCUCGGGGUGGGUACAACAAAGGGAACUCUAAAUCUGAAGAUCUCUUUGGUUAAACGACUGUCUAUGACCCUGUAGCGAGUGAACGUGUAACGACAAUGACUUCAGGUGUAUGUACUCGAAGGAGUUAGGAACCUCUGGACUCCUUAGCAAACGAAGUCUUAUUCUACCAAAUAUUACUUUUUUCGAGGGUUCAUUUUAAUUUCAAAGUGGGUACGUUGUCAUGCUCAAUGUAUGGGAUUUUUUAAACUUUGGUUCGCACAACAGGUCUUUUCAAGUCAUCGACUUCGAGGGUUUUAUCCGAGCGCCCCUAGGUACAGUAGAAGGCAAGCUAAUGUGUCCCAAACUAGAAGAAGGAAAGAGGAAAUUAAGAAACAGACGAGAAACUACAAGAUGAACGCCUAACCUCGACGACAGUCUUGUCGCCAUAUACACAAGAUAAGGCAAAUUCAUAUUCCAACACGCCGGAAAAAACGAGGUAUAAAGGACUUGAGUAUCAAGUAAAGGGACAAUACACAUCUAGACGUCCGUCGUACGUUCUAGUAAACCAAGCAGUCAAAUCAAUCUUGAGGGUAACAACUAAAGAGAAGGAUUACAUUCGGAACCACAACGUAAGUAGUCCACACAACGAUAAAGCAUAUGUCAAGACUUACUAAUCACGGUUCUUCACUCGAGGUUUGAUCCCGUGUACAGAAAGUUCAUGUUAUUUUUCUAAUGUCAAUUGAACAACUCAUUAUUAUAUACUAACGACCACGGAGGACUAAACACACUAUUUGUUUACCACAUGUAAAACACACAUUUAGGCUCUAAGGAGCUUUCCAACCCUUCACUUGAAUAACUUGAACAAUCGGGACAAAUUAAGCCAUCGUACAGUUUGAACUACAAGCAAAGCCGGGUAUCGGAAAAGGGACUUUUUCAAACUUUCACACUUAAUAGAGAGAUAGUUCAUAAUCGAAAAAACAAGAAACUUGUUCGGGGUAAGUGCGACUGAUAUACCCUUGUCAUUUUGUUCGAUUGUACCUGGUAGUACUACUAAAGAACCAUACAACUAGUAGUAACUAAAAUUCUCAACUUACCCUCACUCGCUCGAAGAUAAGUGAACAACGGCAGAUGCAUACAUGUGAAACACUGUAGCCACUCAUUACAUGUAUACUAAAGAGAAUGGUAGUUUCUGUAGUAUACUUACUAUAUCCUUGGGUACCUAGGUCAACUUAGUGUGUACAUUUCUUCCUGCUCGAUCGAUAUAUCAAUCUACGUAUCUCACUCCGUAAAGUAAGGCACUAUUGUACAUACUUAGUACGUAUCUCGAUUGCUAAUCAGGACGUAAUGAGGUUGUUCUGAACUAGAUAAUGAUGUUUAUACGAUAAUUACAAGAAGGUAAAAGUCAAAGGGUAGGUCAUUCGUUACUCGUUCUUCAGCUCGAGUUAACAUCACUCUACCUCAUUCCCUUCCGCCAAACCCCCGCCUCACUACGACCGCCACCGACGUCAAGGAUGCCACAGGUCCCGUGCUGAGAAAAACGUGCGGCUUACGACGGUUAAUCAAAGUCGAAGCGACGUGGUGUGGUAGUACACUGUGUAUAAUACUGUGCGCGUGGAACCGCCCGACGCUGUGGUUGUUCCUGUGUGAUGCCGUUGGGACAUGCCCCCACAGGCGGGGGAACCCCUAUCCAGUGGAAGAAGGUGUUCGGUACCAGCUGUUUCAGACGUAGUUCUGAGAACUAAGUAGGAAGGGGGGAGAGAGGGUCGUACUAAUUUUUAACUAUAGACGACAAAAAACAACGAGCCAAACGUACAAAAAAAACGGAAGACUCCCUCUGAUAAGUCCGUAUGCUACCAAUCUCUUUGCCUAGGCGAUUUUUAGUCAGCUGACUCUGAACCGCUUCAGAGUCAGCUGACGAGUCGGCAGGCUACGACUCGCACAUCUAAACGCGACUCCGACCAAACAGGGAACAAAGCCGGACACAUUCCGCACCUGGCCGGGUAAAAGGAAAAGAAGAAACACCUUGGCGCUAGGGCGCGCUCGCAAAACGAAAACAUCACCCGACCCGACAAAAAGGCACGCCGAAAAAAAAACGACAAAACAAAAAACUCUUCACCUUCGCCGGCGGGGGUACCACUAAUUCUUCUCCACUUGCCCGUCAGUGUCGAGUUAGGUGUAGCAGAGAGAGGUAAGGGGUUAUAGUUUAGUCUUCUGCUUGGUCUCCUGCUCUCUCCCCUUACCGGCCGCGACGACUACGUCCCCAAACACCUCAAACAAAGUUGGUAACGUUCAUACUCUCGUUCCCUUCGCCAAAGUCGUACCAACGUACCCUCCUCAAGUUCUUACGUCCCCAACACGGAACGUUACUUUCCCGGGUAAAGUUGUUACACUGUCCUCUCUUCCACUGCAAACACAGUUUGGUUGCCCGUAUGUGACAUUUCACAAUGUUCCCAGCGUAUUUCUCGUGAUACAUACCCUCUCCAACCUCCUUCAAGAUACUUCUGUUGUUAGACCCGUUCCCAGUCUACCACCACAAGGUGGACCUACUUGGAAGUGGAUGCCGUAGAUAAAACACCAAGGUCCACCCGUUGCCGAGACUUCUACUUGUCGGAUACCUUCUCCCACUAGGGUAACUUCUAAGUCUAAGUCCAUUACUCCUACCUCUUCGAAGUUCGCUACUACCACUUCCGUAACAAGCGUGAUCCCCCGAAAACGAAUUACUCUGUCUCCUACGAGUCGAUGUUCCCGACGACGGAGAGUCACUACCAAAGUAGCCCAAACGAAAACAAGUGGCGGACUGUUCCUGACUGUAAGCGAACCCGUACUACUUUUAUGGGUUCUUUCAACGACGACGGUACGGCAAACUUCUUGUCCCCCAACAACCAUAAAGACACCUACCAGCCUCUAAGUUUUUUUAGAGUAUGUUUUGAUGACUACUACCGGCGUAACACAAACUGUCGUUCUUCACCUUUUUGAAGCGUCGAUCGUCUCCUGAGUUUCAGUUGUGUCGACAAGAAUAACCGAAGUUCUCGUCGCUCUCCCUACUACAGGUACAGGACCAAUAGAACUUCUUCGAACAGAUCCGUGGUCCGUGUCGUUGACUACUGUUCGUCUCGACGCAGAUAUUAUGAGUAGACAACCCAUAAGAUAUAUAAAGACACAGCUUCAGACAUACUGCUUGGAAAAAAGUAAAAAUACGGUACAACUUGGACAGUCACAUCAAAACGCAAAGAAUACACAGGUGGUUUGUUACACCGAACUUAUUAUAUACUACCCUUGGGGAAAAAGAUGUAAUAUAAGUUCACAAG
rnacentral:rRNA from 1 species